GAAGAAGAGACCGUGAGAAAGCUCAUUUUCUUCAUGUUGGCACCAAAAAAAAGGCUUGAAUGGAUAAUCCCGUUUUCUAUUGAAGCCUGAGUGUUGGUUAAUCCGGUCACGUCAAAAUGAAUUUUCUCAGUCGUUUCUUUUAUACUGUUCAGUAAGGAAUUUUUUUGGGUAUAAGUUUCAAUACAAGUACCAGAAGGAUUCGGACAAUCUUUUAAAACGUUCGCCUUGUGAAUUCUUUUUUUUCGAAUAAGACCGUACGACGUAUCUUUUGAAAUUUCAAUAAGCUGUUUUUCAACCUCGUCGGUAAGCUGGAGGCCCAUUCCAUUAGGGCGAAGGAUAGAUGAGGGAAAGGUUUGUUUACAGAAAGCUGUGGCAACUCUUUGAACAGCCUGUUCGGUAUUGAUACAGGAAACAUGAUAAAUGACUUGAAUGUUUGCCAUCGAUUGAGCGUGGGAUUCAACGGUAUGAAACUUUUUCAAAUGAUGCUGUGCUGCAUUAAAGGUAGUGAAAUGAUGAGAACAAUAGGUACAUUGAUAGGAUUUGAGCCUUAAAUGAACGUGAAUUAGAUGCUCGUACAUAUUUCGCUUGGAUGAAAAUGUUUUUCCACACGUCGCAACAGGGCAUAAAAAUACUGGAGUACAAGUUACACAAACCAAAAAUUUAAGGUGUAAAACUGAAUAUAACAGUAAAAUAUUUCUGCCAAAACAAAGUUGUUUAAAAAAUAAAGUGAGGAUUCCCAAGAAUUACAGUACCUUCUCACACGCAUCACAGGUCGGUGAAGCAAGAAAACUUUUUCGUGCAUUCGGGUCGAUCACAGGAAUAUUGAAGGGCUUUAUCUAUAAAAAAAAUAUGUAAAAGUGUGAACGCCUUAAAGAAAACCUUUUAUUACC